UACAGAGGGUGCAAGCGUUAAUCGGAAUUACUGGGCGUAAAGCGUGUGUAGGUGGUUGGAUAAGUUAGAUGUGAAAUCCCCGGGCUUAACCUGGGCAUUGCGUUUAAAACUGUUUAACUAGAGUACUGUAGAGGAUAGUGGAAUUUCCAGUGUAGCGGUGAAAUGCGUAGAUAUUGGAAGGAACACCAGUGGCGAAGGCGACUAUCUGGACAGAUACUGACACUGAGACACGAAAGCAUGGGGAGCAAACAGG
rnacentral:rRNA from 1 species